UGAACCCAUGGCUGCGGGCUGUGCUGAGGUCAUAGUCAGGCCUGAAAGGACUCGCUGAGCAUGACAAUCAAGUGGAAGAGGGUCUUGCAAUUGCACUUGUCCCUGAGGGGGGCCCUUGUCCUUGCCACCUUGGUUCUUGCUCAGGCUGCUGGGGCUGAGGCCUGAGGUCUGGGAUGGGGAGAGAGCCUUCAGUAUGUGGGCCGCCCUCCUGUCAGAACAGUGUUUGUCGUCUCCUGCUAUCUUACGAGCAAACAGCCAUGUUGUAAAUGGCCUCUGAGGAGGACUGGCCUCUAGGAGUUGAGGACCUCAAGCCUACAUCUGCAAGGAAUUGAACGAUGCCAAGAACCCGAACAAACUCUGAAGAUGAGAAUGCGGCCCUGUUGGUUGAAUCCAUGGAUGUGGAACCCAUGGAUGUGAAGGACUGACUGUACUUUGCACUAGUGGUUCUCAAAGUGUGGGCCCUGGACCAGUGGCAGCAGCAUCACCUGGGAACUUGUGAGAAAUGCACUUUUCAGCUCCUGUUUCAGAUGGACCUAUCAGAAUCUCUGCAGGGAGGCUGUGAGGAUCUAGAGGAUACAGCUACGGAGAACAUGCUGGGUUCCUUGAGCUGCUAAGCACUGAAGUCCCACCAAUGGUGACGAAGGUCUAAGGAGAACAUUGCAAUUGCACAAAAUGAUCCUUGGAAAUUCUUUAGAAGGGCACCAUCUUGGAGACCCAGAAUCAAUAAAACCAGCAUGGCUGGGAGUUUUCUCCAGCAUUUGAAUAAAUUGUUGUUUCUUUGGUUGAACCAUGAUGAGAUAAUUGGCUUAAACCAGGAGUCAUGCAUGGUAUCUGGAAACUUCCUCACUUGAAUCACCAGCAUCAUACUCAGCAUGCAUAAUCCUCUCAUCAUGAGAGGCACAGGGGAAAUGAGCCAGCCUGUCUGGAAAGGAAGCAAAUGCAUGCUUUCCAUCUCCCACUCAGUACUGGACAUGAAGCUAUGUCAUCACCACUUAAUGCCAGCACCACUUAAAUGAUGUUUCUCUCUCUCUGCCCUGUACUUGCUGGAGGCACAUGCCCAUAUCACGUAGGGUGUCAGGGCAGAGAGCUCUUAGGAAGAGCUGAGCUGUGGGGACUUCCUCCCACGCAGAAGAGGGAGGCCUCUGCAGAAUUCUCUGCCAUGUGCUUCUAGGCUUCCUCAACUCAGAAAUUUUAUUAUAGAGUUUUAGAAUGUGAAGAGCUCUUGGAAAUCAUGAAAGAUGAAGAAUCAAGAUGGAAGUUUGAUGGCUUGUCCCAGGCCCCAGAGUGGACCCUUUGCUUUUUGGAAUCCAACAGCAAGGACUCAUGGGAAUAUCGUGGGAUUUGACUUGGAGAGACAGGGCUCAAACCUCAUCUUUGUCACUUAGUGAUUGUGUAAUUCUCUAAAAGUCUAUUUGUAGAAAAGGGAUAAGGGAGCUUUCUUUCCUGGAUUUCAAGAUGAUUAAAAGAGAUGUAUGUAUAAAGGGA
rnacentral:lncRNA from 1 species